GACGAACGCUGGCGGCGUGCUUAACACAUGCAAGUCGAACGGUGACCCAGGGCUUGCCCUGGUGAUCAGUGGCGAACGGGUGAGUAACACGUGGGCAACCUGCCCCUGACUUCGGGAUAACUCCUCGAAAGAGGAGCUAAUACCGGAUACGACCACUUCGGACAUCCGAUGGUGGUGGAAAGUUCUUCGGUCAGGGAUGGGCCCGCGGCCUAUCAGCUAGUUGGUGGGGUAAUGGCCUACCAAGGCGACGACGGGUAGCCGGCCUGAGAGGGCGACCGGCCACACUGGGACUGAGACACGGCCCAGACUCCUACGGGAGGCAGCAGUGGGGAAUAUUGCGCAAUGGGCGAAAGCCUGACGCAGCGACGCCGCGUGAGGGAUGAAGGCCUUCGGGUUGUAAACCGUCUUUCAGCAGGGACGAAGCGAAAGUGACGGUACCUGCAGAAGAAGCACCGGCUAACUACGUGCCAGCAGCCGCGGUAAU
rnacentral:rRNA from 1 species